GACCGUUAAACGUUCCGAUUGUCUCGCUACGAUAUGACAGCAACAAUGACAUUCAAUCACUUCCUAUAUAGCUAUUUGAUUACCCUACCAAAUUACAAUGUGUCACAGUGACGUAUCACUUUAAACAUACAAAAACUUAUUUACGAUUUAGUUUGAAUUACGUCAAUCACAAUAUUGAUAUAUUACAUGAAGUAUUUUUACAGUUAAAUGAACUGGCGGCGCUGCGCUGGGAAUUAACCUACUAGUGAUGGGCGAUACCAGGAUUUUUAAUUCGAUACCGAUACCGAUACUUUUAAGAUCGGUAUCGGCCGAUACCGAUACCUAUUUCGAUACCAAAAUGAACACAAAAUUUCAAUUUUCGAUACCGGAAGUGAGUACUUAAAUUGCUAGUAUCGCUACUUUCGAUACCUGCCGGUCAGCGGCGGAAAAGCAUUUUACAUUACUGUAUGCGACCCCCCCCCCGUCGCCAAAAAAAUUUCGGUCAGUGUACCAUUUUAGGGGUUAAAAAUUUUUUUCGGACAUACCAAAAUUUUUCCGGACAUCACCAAUUUUCCCCAUUAAUCAAAAAUUUUUUUUCUAAAAUCC